AUGCGUUGGGCUACCCUGCCUCUGUCCAUGAGGCACAUCGAGUACGCGACAAAGGAUGCCUACGCAGCAACAAACAUGAGAGAGCAGAGGAGAGUCAUGGCGGAUGCACCUCUGUACAAGCAGCACCGCACGAACACCAGGGAGCUCCACGACGUCCACCUCCACGGCAAUCACAAGCUCCACGUCAUUUGCAUAAGCAAGGGUAAAGAUGUGGACAAGAUGUUGUCCACGUUUAGGAGGAAGCUCGGUGGAAUGCCCGUCAAACUAGUCGGCAUUGAUGUCGAGUACACGCACUACGUGAAGCCACAGCGGGCAGUAGUGCUCCAGCUAUGCGUAGAAAAAAAUGCCUUGUCUACCACAUCUCUGCAGCUAAACAUAGGCCAAUGGACCUAG
rnacentral:rRNA from 1 species